UGGCGGCGUGGCUAAUACAUGCAAGUGGAACGCACUAAUCUCACCGGAGCUUGCUCCACCGAAAUUAGUGAGUCGCGAACGGGUGAGUAACGCGUAGGUAACCUACCUUCUAGCGGGGGAUAACUAUUGGAAACGAUAGCUAAUACCGCAUAAUAUUUUUCAUCGCAUGAUGAAGGAUUGAAAGGGGCAAUUGCUCCACUGGGAGAUGGACCUGCGUUGUAUUAGCUAGUAGGUGGGGUAACGGCCCACCUAGGCAACGAUACAUAGCCGACCUGAGAGGGUGAUCGGCCACACUGGGACUGAGACACGGGCCAGACUCCUACGGGAGGNAGCAGUAGGGAAUCUUCNGCAAUGGGGGGAACCCUGACCGAGCAACGNCGCGUGAGUGAAGAAGGUUUUCGGAUCGUAAAGCUC
rnacentral:rRNA from 1 species